rnacentral:misc_RNA from 1 species
UCCGAGUUGUCCCCGGCAGUCCUCUUAGAGUCCCCGGCAUUACCCGCUGGCAACUAAGAGCAGGGGUUGCGCUCGUUGCGGCACUUAAGCCAACACCUCACGGCACGAGCUGACGACAGCCAUGCAGCACCUGUGCUAGCCCCUUACGGACACGGGCUUUCACCCGCUUUAACUAGCAUGUCAAGCCUAGGUAAGGUGGGGAUGACGUAGACCUUGGACC